AGGAAGCCUGGCCUUUAGGGACUGGCUUGGGGACGCCUCUGACGAUUAGAUGAAUAAAUCGAACUCAGGAUGGAGACUGGGCUAUUUUCUGAACGGUUCCGUUUUGAUAACCCUCUGAUGUGACGCUGAGUGAGGUGUUCCAUGGGUGAGAAAAGCAAUCAUGUAGCUCUGCAGAUGAGAAGUCUCAUUGGGCUAACAUCUGAGGGUCCGCCCGGCUGCAGUCCCUUCUGGAGGAUGAAGGGGAGAAUUUAUUUCCUCGCUUCUCCCGGACUCUCAGGCCACCCACGUUCCCUGGUUUGUGGCUGCUCCUGCAUCGUCAAGGCCAGCAAUGGCAGACCCCUCCAGACAAAGCCCGAUUUGUGAGACGGGGCCACGUUGGCAGGCACAGAGCUGCACACCUGUGAUCCCAGCAUUCCUGAGACUUUGGCCCAAGGAUCGCUUGAGCCCUGGAGUUUGAGACCAGCCUCGGCAACAAAGCAAGACCCUGUCUCCAACAAAACAAAAAGAGGCCAUUUUAAUGUUUUGUUUUGUUGUCAUUUUUCUUUCCACAACUUAAUAAAUCAUUCUCCUGGCGCUCGCGGGCUGUGUGGUUGAAUCCA